rnacentral:rRNA from 1 species
UACGUAGGUGGCAAGCGUUAUCCGGAAUGAUUGGGCGUAAAGGGUGCGUAGGCGGCAAAAUAAGUCUGAAGUAAAAGGCGUUGGCUCAACCAACGUAAGCUUUGGAAACUGUUAAGCUAGCGUGCAGGAGAGGUUAGUGGAAUUCCAUGUGUAGCGGUAAAAUGCGUAGAUAUAUGGAGGAACACCAGUGGCGAAGGCGGCUAACUGGCCUGUAACGGACGCUGAGGCACGAAAGCGUGGGGGGCAAAUAGG